rnacentral:rRNA from 1 species
GAUGAACGCUGGCGGCGUGCCUAAUACAUGCGAGUCGAGCGAACGGACGAGAAGCUUGCUUCUCUGAUGUUAGCGGCGGACGGGUGAGUAACACGUGGAUAACCUACCUAUAAGACUGGGAUAACUUCGGGAAACCGGAGCUAAUACCGGAUAAUAUUUUGAACCGCAUGGUUCAAAAGUGAAAGACGGUCUUGCUGUCACUUAUAGAUGGAUCCGCGCUGCAUUAGCUAGUUGGUAAGGUAACGGCUUACCAAGGCAACGAUGCAUAGCCGACCUGAGAGGGUGAUCGGCCACACUGGAACGGAGACACGGUCCAGACUCCUACGGGAGGCAGCAGUAGGGAAUCUUCCGCAAUGGGCGAAAGCCUGACGGAGCAACGCCGCGUGAGUGAUGAAGGUCUUCGGAUCGUAAAACUCUGUUAUUAGGGAAGAACAUAUGUGUAAGUAACUGUGCACAUCUUGACGGUACCUAAUCAGAAAGCCACGGCUAACUACGUG